CUGAGGAAACUGUAUUUCCUGUCAGAGAUGCUCAGUGAUCCUCAGAGCAGAGAGAGGUACUGCUGUCUCCUGAGUUCUUCAGUGUCCCAACUGAGACAUUCAAACCUCAUUGCAGAGCUCAUGUCUUUCCUCACCAUCAUGUGAGUGUGAGAUUGCUCUGGAUUCCGGUUAUGUGGCCUGCAGCACCUAUAAGAACAAGCUCGUCCAGUGUGCCUGCAUUCCAGCUUCAGACUCUACGCAAGUGGACAGAGUAUCAGUGUUUGACCGCUCUUAUAGACACCGACUUCUGUCAACUCACUUCUACUGAUCAGGCACCUCACUCCAGGAAGACAGAGGGCUGCAAGCCUGUCAUCGUUUCCAGUGUGGCUUUGUAUUCUUGGGGUGGCAUCAGAUUUUUUCCCACAAAUAUUCAAAGAUUUAUAUGCAGUGAUUGGAUGUGGUGGAGCUUUGUUAACUGUGUGGAAAACAUCUGUUUGUGAUGAUAUUUACAAUGAGGCUUUAAGGUGACAGUUUCCAUGUAAUUUCAAUCCUUUUACUAAGCAAAAACAUGUUUGCAAUUAACAUAUUUUUUCAGUUUUGUCUUUUGGAUUUAUGGUUAACAUUCCUCUGUGACAGCAAAUACUAAACUGGUCCAAGUAACCAGCAUAUCAUUGG